rnacentral:rRNA from 1 species
AAGGCUGACGCUGCCACGUCGCGUGGAGGAUGAAGGUCUUAAGAUCGUAAACUCCUUUUAUCUACGAACAAGUUCUGAGUGUAUGUAGAUGAAUAAGUGCCUGCCAACCACGUGCCAGAAGCAUCGGUAAUACGUGGGACACAAGCGUUACCCGGAUUCACUGGGCGUAAAGAGAUGCGUAGGCGUCUAGAAAAGUUCUGUGUUAAAUCCCAAGGCUCACCCUUGGAACCGCAUAGAAAACUCUCUGGAUUGAGUCAUGUAUAGAAUAGGGGAAUUCCUGGUGGAGCGGUUAAAUGCGUUGAUAUCAGGAGGAACACCAAUGGCGAAAGCACCUAUUUGGACAUGUACUGACGCUAAGGCUCGAAAGUGUGGGGAGCAAAACGGAUUAGAUACCCGUGUAGUCCACACCGUAAACGAUCCCUGUUAGAUGUUCGAAAUUUGCUGAAAUUUCUCUUCGGAGAAGAUAAGCACUUUUUGAGUGUCGCAGCUACGCGUUAAACAGGCGCCUGUGAAGUACGACCGCCAGGUUAAAACACAAAGAAUUGACGGGACCCGCACAAGCCAGUGGAGUGCCUGGUUUAAUUCCAUGAUCAACGAAGAACCUCAC